UCCGGGGUCGAUCCAGGCGCGCUCUACGGUCGAUUUGGAGGCGAUCGGUGUAUGUACCUCGCCGCCGGCGGACCCCUAUGGACCCUCCAAAAUCGAGUGGUCCCAGGGGGGCCGUUUUCUAGAAAUGGACCCUCUGGCCAAACGGACCCUCUGGCAGGACGGCCCCUCGGGCCAAAUGGUCCCUCUGGACCAGACGGACCCUCUGGGCCAUUUUCACAAAAUGGACCCUCUGGCCGAGGGGCCACGGCCCCCCUAGGGGGGCCAUUUGGGGCCGAAAAAAAAAAGUGCUCCAAAUCGCUCCGGGGUUGAUCCAGGCGCGCUCUACGGUCGAUUUGGAGGCGAUCGGUGUAUGUACCUCGCCGCCGGCGGACCCCUAUGGACCCUCCAAAAUCGAGUGGUCCC
rnacentral:misc_RNA from 1 species